rnacentral:lncRNA from 1 species
AUUCCACUUGUAAAGGCGAGGCAACAACCAUAUACAGUCAUUGGCAACAACACAUUUCAUUUUUACGGGAACGAGCAUGGCGUGCACCCGAGAGACCAGGGGACCCUAAAUUGUGCCAGUCCAGCGAACUAUUGUCUUAUUGCAAGAAAUACAUUUGACUGUAAAGAUUUGGACGGUGAUACCACCGCAGCACCUGAUUUCGAGGCCAGCUCGCCCCCGCGUCCACAUGUAUCUUGCGCAUGUACGCGAACAGGACUCCAAGGAAUACAACUGCCCCAGUCUGCCUUAAAGAGCCAGGCAUGUGCUGGUGAGGCUCUCCCCACAACAGGCUGCCUCUCUGCUCUCUUAAGGUGGACCAGAAGAGAUGUGUUGCGUGUGUCUAGUACCUUGCAGUAACAAUGGACGGGAAAGAGUUAAUUCCCACGGUCUCUCCUCUAGCCUCUUUGUGAUCUCAUGGAAGGCUGUCCAGUGGAUAUGAGGAUCACUCUCUUCCCCAGAACACUUCUUAUACACCGCAUCUCAUCUAAUAAUAGGGUACACACACACACACACACACACACACACACACACACACACACACACACACACACACACAAAACACCCCUCAUACAAAGGUAAAUUCAUAUGAGGUGUGUAUGAUGAGAGGUGGGACUGAUCCCAAGCUGUACAAUACAUGACAACCUGUUAUGACUUGUUGACAGCAUACACAACACAUGGCACU